CGACCAUGUAGUGGUCUCUUGUGUUGCAAGAUGUCUUGAAAUCUAUAUAAGGCAAGAAAUAGAAAACAAAAUGUUCUCUGUAAACACUUUAAUUUUAAUAAUAACAGUUAAAAACAGUUAACAGCUCCUAGAAAUCAGAGGCAUAUCAGAAUGGAUGCAGGAAUCCUAUUGUCAUAAGUUAUCAACAAUGAAGUCCCUCUGAUACGUUUACUCUCGCCGGCUUAGAAGUAGAGUAUCACCAAGAUGGUAUUGAAGUGUAGACUGGAGUUAUGUGUGUUCCACCGGAAAAGUUCUCCUGCUUUCCACUCCAAUCCUCCCCCAAAAGGGGUGACUGGUAGGUGCAAUUGCCUUACGCGUACAAAAACAUUGUUACCUUUGGUUCGACACACUGUCAUUUCAUGAACUUUUACUUGAUGGGAACCAAUACCUAUAUGUUAUUUUUGAGUGACAUCUGAUAUAGC